GUGCCAGCCGCCGCGGUAAUACGGAGGGGGCCAGCGUUGCUCGGAAUCACUGGGCGUAAAGGGCUCGUAGGCGGUCUGAUAAGUCCUGUGUGAAAUCCCUUGGCUUAACCAAGGAAUUGCGCCGGAUACUGUCGGACUAGAGGCCGGGAGAGGGAAGCGGAAUUCCGAGUGUAGCGGUGAAAUGCGUAGAUAUUCGGAGGAACACCGGUGGCGAAGGCGGCUUCCUGGACCGGUUCUGACGCUGAUGAGCGAAAGCUAGGGUAGCAAACAGGAUUAGAAACCCCCGUAGUCC
rnacentral:rRNA from 1 species